UUCAGCUAUGGCGACAUGGUUCCUGGCACUACGAUUGGCAAAGUCGUCGGUGGAGUGUGUUCUCUAAGCGGCGUAUUGGUCAUCGCACUUCCAGUUCCGGUCAUUGUAUCCAAU
rfam:Soboliphyme baturini genome assembly, scaffold: SBAD_scaffold0000066